rnacentral:rRNA from 1 species
GCAGCAGGCGCGAAAACUUUACAAUGCUGGUAACAGCGAUAAGGGAACCUCGAGUGCCAGGUUACAAAUCUGGCUGUCGAGAUGCCUAAAAAGCAUUUCAUAGCAAGGGCCGGGCAAGACCGGUGCCAGCCGCCGCGGUAAUACCGGCGGCUCGAGUGGUGGCCACUUUUAUUGGGCUUAAAGCGUUCGUAGCUGGGUUGUUAAGUCUCUUGAGAAAUCUGGCAGCUUAACUGUCAGGCUUUCAGGAGAUACUGUCUGGCUCGAGGCCGGGAGAGGUGAGAGGUACUUCAGGGGUAGGGGUGAAAUCUUGUAAUCCUUGAAGGACCACCAGUGGCGAAGGCGUCUCACCAGAACGGACCUGACGGCAAGGGACGAAAGCUAGGGGCACGAACCGGAUUAGAUACCCGGGUAGUCCUAGCCGUAAACGAUACUCGCUAGGUGUCGGCCACGGUGCGACCGUUGUCGGUGCCGUAGGGAAGCCGUGAAGCGAGCCACCUGGGAAGUACGGCCGCAAGGCUGAAACUUAAAGGAAUUGGCGGGGGAGCAC